rnacentral:rRNA from 1 species
GCCAGACUCCUACGGGAGGCAGCAGUGGGGAAUAUUGCACAAUGGGGGAAACCCUGAUGCAGCGACGCCGCGUGAGCGAAGAAGUACCUCGGUAUGUAAAGCUCUAUCAGCAGGGAAGAAGAUGACGGUACCUGACCAAGAAGCUCCGGCUAAAUACGUUCCAGCAGCCGCGGUAAUACGUAUGGAGCAAGCGUUAUCCGGAUUUACUGGGUGUAAAGGGCGUGUAGCCGGGUUGACAAGUCAGAUGUGAAAUCCUGCGGCUUAACCGCAGAACUGCAUUUGAAACUGUUGAUCUUGAGUACUGGAGAGGCAGACGGAAUUCCUAGUGUAGCGGUGAAAUGCGUAGAUAUUAGGAGGAACACCGGUGGCGAAGGCGGCCUGCUGGACUGCGACUGACGUUGAGGCCCGAAAGCGUGGGGAGCAAACAGGAUUAGAUACCCCGGUAU